rnacentral:rRNA from 1 species
UCGAGCGAGCGGAACUACAGAUUUACUUCGGUAAUGACGUUAGGAAAGCGAGCGGCGGAUGGGUGAGUAACACGUGGGGAAUCUGCCCCAUAGUCUGGGAUACCACUUGGAAACAGGUGCUAAUACCGGAUAAGAAAGCAGAUCGCAUGAUCAGCUUUUAAAAGGCGGCGUAAGCUGUCGCUAUGGGAUGGCCCCGCGGUGCAUUAGCUAGUUGGUAAGGUAAAGGCUUACCAAGGCGAUGAUGCAUAGCCGAGUUGAGAGACUGAUCGGCCACAUUGGGACUGAGACACGGCCCAAACUCCUACGGGAGGCAGCAGUAGGGAAUCUUCCACAAUGGACGCAAGUCUGAUGGAGCAACGCCGCGUGAGUGAAGAAGGUUUUCGGAUCGUAAAGCUCUGUUGUUGGUGAAGAAGGAUAGAGGUAGUAACUGGCCUUUAUUUGACGGUAAUCAACCAGAAAGUCACGGCUAACUACGUGCCAGCAGCCGCGGUAAUACGUAGGUGGCAAGCGUUGUCCGGAUUUAUUGGGCGUAAAGCGAGCGCAGGCGGAAGAAUAAGUCUGAUGUGAAAGCCCUCGGCUUAACCGAGGAACUGCAUCGGAAACUGUUUUUCUUGAGUGCAGAAGAGGAGAGUGGAACUCCAUGUGUAGCGG